GGUAAUCUAUCAUUUUUCAUGCAGAAAGCCCAACCAUCACAUUCACACUCCAAGCCUCCCUCACCGAUCGCCCAACCGACCAUCCGAUUCUGCUGACUCUUACCGCCGACGUUCAUCAAUCUCCUGACGUAUGCCCCGACUCUCCUUAUGUGUAGAUGUAACUGCCGUUGAGGUCCUCCAACCAGUACUUCUCCGCCCCACGGGUGCAAUAGCGAGCUCAGCGAAGGCAAUGAAAUUGUUGUUGCUAAGAGCCAAAGAGCCUGCAGAGAAAAAGCAAGAGAGACAAAAUGCUAUUAGUUCCACUUUGGAAUGGGCUGUUUUGGGAAAACAAAGACAAAAAAAAAAGAAGACAAGACUCUUGCGAUCUCACAAGCGUCUAGAUGACUACAGUCAAAGGAUUCUCAACCUCAAUGAUAGAGCCGGUAUUCGAAUGAACAAGAAUUAUUUCUCUUGUCAUUGAUGCGAGGGGUUUUGAGAAUCUAGAUUUUCAAGAGAGAAAUUGUCAGCAUUUUAUUAACAAGGCUAGAAAUUUAAGAUUUGGUAAAGGAGGUGGCGAUGCCCUUUAUGAGUAUUUCCAAAGAAUGAGAAACCAUAAUGAUGACUUUGUUUCUGCCAUGGAUGUCGAUGAUGAGGGAAGGUUACGAAAUGUGUUUUGGGCUAAUGCACGGAGUCGAGCAGCCUAUGAGUAUUUCGGAGACGUAACUUUUGAUACAACAUACCUAACAAACCGGUAUGGGAUGUCUUUCGCUCCAUUUGUUGGAAUUAACUAUCAUGAGCAAUCCAUACUGCUAAGGGCAAGGUUGUUGUCCCGCGAGGACACGCAUUCCUUCGUUUGGUUGUUCCGCACGUGGUUGGAUUGCAUGAAUGGUCAAGCGCCCAAAGCCAUCAUAACCGACCAAGACCGAGCAAUGAAGAACGCAAUUUCGAUUGUAUUUCCCAAAACCCGCCAUAAAUAUUGUCAAUGGCAUAUAAUGCGCAAACUUCCAGAGAAGUUAGGAUCUCACUCCCAUUUCAGCACAGGGUUGAAGAUCUCCAUUUAGGCUGUAUUGUAUGAUUCACAGACAUGCACGGAAUUUGAGGAGAGGUGGGGUCAACUUCUUGAUAAGUAUGAUCUCAGAGGUAAUAAUUGGCUCAAGUCCUUAUACGAGGAAAUGACUUACUGGGUUCCGGUUUAGAUGUAUUUUGGGCUGGUAUGAGCACGACACAAUGGUCAGAAAGCAUGAAUGUUUUCUUCGAUGGGUAUGUCCAUUCCGGUGCGACCUUGAAGGAAUUCGUGGACUAAUUUGAUAAUGCUCUAAGAAAAAAGGUGGAGGUAGAGACAACGGUUGAUUUCAACUCCAAUGGGGCGACGCGAGGGGACAUGGGGGAUGAGGGUGAGGGAGAGCGACGGUUGGGGGUGGCACAACGCGGGGGUUGGGGGUGAAAUUUGAAAUGGUGUGAAAUGAAACAAAGAGAGGGAACGGGAACGUGGAACAAGCUGCAGGGACAAAAAGGGAAAUUCACAUUAUCCACGUAAGGUGUGCUCCGGCUUCAACUAAAUAGUGGCUGACGAGAAGACUUAUUGUAGCUAAUAUUGGUCUGAACGAGCAAACUUGGUAGACUUCUACAAGGAUGUUCGCUGGUCUAAGAAGAAGGAUAAAUUUGUGAUGGUGGCCACAAAAAACCUUUAUGUGAGUCUUAGGCAUUUUUUCUAUGCUGGUUGAUAAAUGUACUGUUAUUUUUCAAUACUCUCCUCUAUAAAUAGCGAAAAUGAAGUGAUGGCUUCACUCCUUAGCUGGUUUUCUAUGUUUGUGCAGAAGGCGAUGGUUGGUAAAAUGGAUAAUUUAGAAGCUGUGGAAUGUACUAAGGAGGCAGCAGCGUGUGUCUUUAGGGAGGUACUUGGUCAUAGACCAUGAUAUGCCAGAGGCCUAGGCAAGAUGGUUAUACCGGAGUCUAGAAAAUAACAUGAGCAUGAGCGAGACAAAGAAUACACUUCUUUAGUGGAAAGACAUGGGAAAGAUGCUGACUAUAAUAAGAGCCAGCUAGAGGAUUUGAGGGGAGAUAUGGCAAUACUUUUGGAGAGGCAACUUCAAACUGACUGACAAGUUGUCGAAGAGUUUGCUGUUCGAAAGGCAGUCCCACGGAGAGUCUCAAUUUGAAACUCAGAGAGAUUGCCUAUGAUGGAUGAUUCUCGCACGUGUAUUUUGUUUUUUGUGUUUUUUGGUAGGAAUUCUGGUGGCAGGGUUAUGUUAAUGGGUGUGGGAUGUUACAAUGUGGUUUUUUGUGGGAGGUAACUAGCAUUGGUGGGAUGCACAACUUUUCAUAUAGCUUGGAGAGUGCCUAUUUUUUUGUAUGUGUUAUAUGGAGUGUACCCAAGAUGUCCACUGCAGAAUGAUAGGGGCAAGUACCUGAACAUAAAUUCAGGUAAGAGUUUCCAGAGCCUGUUUCCACACUGUGAGCAUUGUUGGAUACCUGCACAGACAUGGUUCCCUAUUAAAACAUUUGGUAGAUGCAGCCAAGCUGAGGAGAGAAGGUGAUUGCACAGAAUUGUGCCUCUUAUUUGAUGUGUACCAGAGGCAGUAGUGGAUGACGUACGUGGCUGGAUAUCAACACUCCUUGAUGGUGGGCUACAAAGCAGCUACUGGAAUUGUUGGGCUGAGAUGCUGAAGUUGAGAUUUAUGGUAGUAGACAGAGUUGCUGCCAAUAUGGUCGAAGUAAUGUUUAAAGAUAUGGUUAAAGAUAAUUUCCGACGGCAAGCUGUACAAUUACGACGCAAGUAUUCCGCUGGAAAAAGACAUUGCAAUAUGCACUGUAUCAUGAAGUGAAGAUGUGAAUAUUUGCAGCGUUUUUACCAAAUUAGCAAUAAAAAAAAUAUCAAAUGUGUUACUAGUCUCUAGUCAUAAUUUCGGCAUUUGGAACAAUGUCCGAACAACCUUUUUGCGGCGGAAUUCAUACCAAUAGUCAUAAGGAAAAAUAGAUAAACGACAAUUUUAGUAGUUAACACAGCAAACAGGAGAUGAGAUGGAAAUUGUUUCCAUUUGUUAAGAAUCACGAGAAAAAUCACUACUAAUGUGUCUUAUAUGAGUAGUAUCAUAUAAUUCAUAAGCAUCAGGAUGUUGUUUUGUUCGUAAAACGUGGAUCUUUUAAUAACUACUGUACUGCAGCAUGCCUUUUUCCAUAUUUUUUUGUUCUUAUGUUUGACAUAUUAAGAUUAAGGUAGAGAUUUCACUUUAUACUUU